CUCUCCGGGUUAUUGUCACUGACAGUCGGAUUAUUCCUCAGCAGCAGCAGCCUCUUCCUCCUCCUCUUCCUCUGCUCUCCGGCGGACAUGCGGGCUCUCGGAGCGGAUCUAUGAUUCCCGCAGCAUCGCGGCUUCUCUGCACGGGUUCUGAUCCAGAGAUGCUGCCGGGCCUUCACACCUGAUCCGUCAGAUUGAACAAGAACCGGGAUAAAAGCGAUACUUCCCCUUCCACCAGUCUGACCAGUCCAGUUCCAUCAUCUGGACCCGGAACCCAGCCGUUGCUUUUCGGGGGCUUUCCAUCGUUCCGCAGCGGGUUCUUCAGAGGUUCUCCGUGGUGUUCUGCUCGGCUCCUCUCGCCUCGGCGCCUUGGACCUUCAUGCGUCUGUUAGCGGCAGACUCCGCCCACCACGCCGCCGCCGCCCGGACCAUGAGCUGUGAACAGGAGUUUGGAGACGGGGCCAUGGGGGUCACGCUCACGCUUCGCCUCCUCAUGCACGGAAAGGAAGUUGGGAGUAUUAUUGGAAAGAAAGGAGAAACCGUGAAGAGAAUACGAGAAGAGUCCCUCUCUGCUCCGUUAUGAUGGAGGAACGUCUCUGAGGAAGAAGUAACGCUUCUCCUCCGUCGGCUCGUAUUUCCCUUCCUCCCACUAAUGUUAUUUUUCUCUUUUAUGUAUCCAUUAAAGUCCAUCCAUCCAUCCAUCC